rnacentral:ncRNA from 1 species
CGAAAUGCGAUGACGAGGACAAGUAAAUCCGGAAAAUACCGAUCAGUGAACUGCCGGUUGGUGCGAGGCAGCAGGGAGCCGGAUUGAAUAAUCACCUCCGAGCAGGCCAUCGAACUUCAAGUAGACUGGCCCGGGAUUCAGCCGUUACAAAGAAGCAUCGUUGGUGGACGAUGGCGAAGAGGACGUUUUUACGUCAAUUUGGGUGGUAACGCGGAGCAGCUCCGUCCCUUAU